CUCAAAGAUUAAGCCAUGCAUGUAUAAGUUCAAACGAUUAUAUCGUGAAACCGCGAACGGCUCAUUAUAACAGCUAUAAUUUACUUGAUCUUGACAAGUUACUUGGAUAACUGUGGUAAUUCUAGAGCUAAUACAUGCACAAAAGCUCUGACCUUGCGGAAAGAGUGCAUUUAUUAGAACAAAACCAGGCGACCUUCUGGUCGUUAUUUGCUGACUCAGAAUAACUAAGCUGAUCGCAUGGUCUAGUACCGGCGACGUGUCCUUCAAGUAUCUGCCCUAUCAACUUUCGAUGGUAGUGUAUCUGACUACCAUGGUGAUUACGGGUAACGGAGGAUAAGGGUUCGACUCCGGAGAAGGGGCCUGAGAAAUGGCCACUAUGUCUAAGGAUGGCAGCAGGCGCGCAAAUUACCCACUCUCAGAAUGAGGAGGUAGUGACGAGAAAUAACGAGACUGUUCUCUUUGAGGGCCAGUCAUCGGAAUGGGUACAAUCUAAACCCUUUAACGAGUAUCUAUGAGAGGGCAAGUCUGGUGCCAGCAGCCGCGGUAAUUCCAGCUCUCAAAAUGCAUAGAAUUAUUGCUGCGGUUAAAAAGCUCGUAGUUGGAUCUGUGUCGCGAGGUUGGUCCGUCUGUUAAGGCGUGUACUCAAUUCUCCGACUUUUUGCUGGUUUUCCUGGCAUGGUUUAAUCGAUCGUGUCAGGUGGCUGGCGAUUUUACUUUGAACAAAUCAGAGUGCUCAACACAGGCGUUUCGCUUGAAUGUUUUUGCAUGGAAUAAUAGAAAAGGAUUUCGGUCCUAUUUUAUUGGUUUUAUAGGCUGAAAUAAUGGUUAAUAGAGACAAACGAGGCCAUUACUAUUGUUGCGUGAGAGGUGAAAUUCUUGGACCGCAGCAAGAGUAACUACAGCGAAAGCAUUUGGCAAGAAUGYCUUCAUUAAUCAAGAACGAAAGUCAGAGGUUCGAAGGCGAUCAGAUACCGCCCUAGUUCUGACCGUAAACGAUGUCAACUAGAGAUCUGCCGAUGGAAUUUGUUGCCAUGGUGGGGAUCUUCCCUGAAAAGAAAGUACUGACUCCGGGGGAAGUAUGGUUGCAAAGCUGAAACUUAAAGGAAUUGACGGAAGGGCACCACCAGGAGUGGAGCCUGCGGCUUAAUUUGACUCAACACGGGAAAACUCACCCGGCCCGGACACCGUGAGGAUUGACAGAUUGAUAGCUCUUUCAUGAUUCGGUGGCGAGUGGUGCAUGGCCGUUCUUAGUUCGUGGAGCGAUUUGUCUGGUUUAUUCCGAUAACGAGCGAGACUCUAGCCUACUAAAUAGUUUGGGCAUUUGUUUCAUGUGCUCAUAACUUCUUAGAGGGAUUUUCGGUGUACAGCCGCACGAAAUUGAGCAAUAACAGAUCUGUGAUGCCCUUAGAUGUCCGGGGCUGCACGCGCGCUACACUGGCGAAAUCAGCGUGCUUGUCCAUUUCCGAAAGGAAUUGGUAAACCAAUGAAAAUUCGCCGUGAUUGGGAUCGGAAAUUGCAAUUAUUUUCCGUGAACGAGGAAUUCCAAGUAAAUGCGAGUCAUCAACUCGCGUUGAUUACGUCCCUGCCCUUUGUACACACCGCCCGUCGCUGCCCGGGACUGAGCCUUUUCGAGAAAUUUGGGGAUUGCUGAUUAGCGGUUCUUCACGGGAUUGCUUUUUGGUGAGAACCAAUUUAAUCGCAGAGGCUUGAACCGGGC
rnacentral:rRNA from 1 species